GACGAACCGUGCAAACGUUGUUCGGAAUCACUGGGCUUAAAGGGCGCGUAGGCGGACUCGCCAGUCUGUGGUGAAAGCCCCCGGCUUAACCGGGGAAGUGCCAUGGAUACUGCGAGUCUGGAGGAGGGUAGGGGCAUCUGGAACGCUGGGUGGAGCGGUGAAAUGCGUUGAUAUCCAGCGGAACUCCGGUGGCGAAGGCGAGGUGCUGGACCCUUUCUGACGCUGAUGCGCGAAAGCCAGGGGAGCAAACGGG
rnacentral:rRNA from 1 species